rnacentral:lncRNA from 1 species
CUUUUUAUGAGUAGUAAUUUAUUUUAUAAACUUGAUUCCUGAUGCGUCUAUAGGAAAUAUUAACAAGGAAAAAAAUAUUCUAAAGAAACUGCAAAUAGAAACCUCCUCUUCCAUACCCCCCUGAAAUCUAGUUUAUGUCCAUAGGUGAAUUGCUGCUGUGAAGCCACUGCAAUUUGACUUUGUACAAAAAGGGUCAUUGAACAGAAGGUCAGGCAGCUGGCCAUUUCCAUUUCAAAGAUGCUAUCAAAAGGGCAAGAGGCAGUUCAUCCAGCAGCCCUUUAGCAAACAAGAUUUUCUCCUUUCUCAUUUAUGAUAUUUUUUAUGCUAAAAUAGUUUAUAGGCUACUGGGAGAAGGUCCUUGAUUCAUUUUCUUCGGAAGGAAAGUGGACUAAGUGGAGCUUGGAAAGGACUUUGGUUCAAGAAAUCAGAGGAGCUUUUGAGUAAUGAGGAGCCAUUUGGUGUCCACUUAUCAAGAGCCUGGCAGUAAGGCAAUAAAUCAUUACGGGGACUCUGCGCUUCGGCUGAAGACAAUUGGAAAAGCGUAAGCUACUUUGCCGCCCCAGGGACCGGCUCAGCCGCAGCUCUCGGAUGGGUUUGGUAGCCGAGUCGGGGAACCUGUGACCCUGGGUACUGCUGCAGACACUCAAGUAAAUUCAGAGGGGCCUCAGAGACCGCAGUAGCUGGAGAAGCUACUCUGAUAACACUUCGCCUGUGCCGAUCAAAACCUCAUCGUGCUCCGUCCUGGUUCUCUCGUCAUCCGUUCUCCAAACGACACCUGUUUCGCUCUCCCAUGCCGAGUACCCAAACGGCUCUUCCCACAGGGGAACGAACGAAACCCUGUGAGGUGGCUUCAGGCACAGCAGAGUGACUCGGUGGGCACCCGAAGAGGGAAGGAGAAGGAAAUUAGUUAAAAUGGAUUUAAUUCUGGGUCUUUCCACCAGGCCUGCUUUUGAGGAUCCGUAAUCUAGCUCCUUGUGUUCACGCAAAUUCUGUGAGCCUUGAAACAGCUGAAUUUGAAACAUUUUUAAUAUCGUAUCAAAUAUUUCACACGGUGCUAAUGACAGAUGUAAUAUCACAGUUAAAAUAAAUAAUUGGCACUUUUAGAAGCA